rnacentral:rRNA from 1 species
GGGAGUGGAUAAAAAAGUAACAAGGUUUCCGUAGGUGAACCUGCGGAAGGAUCAUUACCGAGUGUAGGGUUCCUAGCGAGCCCAACCUCCCACCCGUGUUUACUGUACCUUAGUUGCUUCGGCGGGCCCGCCAUUCAUGGCCGCCGGGGGCUCUCAGCCCCGGGCCCGCGCCCGCCGGAGACACCACGAACUCUGUCUGAUCUAGUGAAGUCUGAGUUGAUUGUAUCGCAAUCAGUUAAAACUUUCAACAAUGGAUCUCUUGGUUCCGGCAUCGAUGAAGAACGCAGCGAAAUGCGAUAACUAGUGUGAAUUGCAGAAUUCCGUGAAUCAUCGAGUCUUUGAACGCACAUUGCGCCCCCUGGUAUUCCGGGGGGCAUGCCUGUCCGAGCGUCAUUGCUGCCCAUCAAGCACGGCUUGUGUGUUGGGUCGUCGUCCCCUCUCCGGGGGGGACGGGCCCCAAAGGCAGCGGCGGCACCGCGUCCGAUCCUCGAGCGUAUGGGGCUUUGUCACCCGCUCUGUAGGCCCGGCCGGCGCUUGCCGAACGCAAAUCAAUCUUUCCAGGUGACCUCGGAUGCAAGACGUACCACCCCG